rnacentral:ncRNA from 1 species
CUAGUUGGUGAGGCAAUAGCUUACCAAGGCGAUGAUCAGUAGCUGGUCCGAGAGGAUGAUCAGCCACACUGGGACUGAGACACGGCCCAGACUCCUACGGGAGGCAGCAGUGGGGAAUUUUCCGCAAUGGGCUAAAGCCUGACGGAGCAAUGCCGCGUGGAGGUGGAAGGCCUACGGGUCGUCAACUUCUUUUCUCGGAGAAGAAACAAUGACGGUAUCUGAGGAAUAAGCAUCGGCUAACUCUGUGCCAGCAGCCGCGGUAAGACAGAGGAUGCAA